rnacentral:rRNA from 1 species
UAUAUGUUAAGUGGAAAAGGAUGUGGCGUUGCCCAGACAACUAGGAUGUUGGCUUAGAAGCAGCCAUCAUUUAAAGAGUGCGUAAUAGCUCACUAGUCGAGUGACACUGCGCCGAAAAUGUACCGGGGCUAAACAUAUUACCGAAGCUGUGGAUUGUCCGUAGGACAAUGGUAGGAGAGCGUUCUAAGGGCGUUGAAGCAUGAUCGCAAGGACAUGUGGAGCGCUUAGAAGUGAGAAUGCCGGUGUGAGUAGCGAAAGACGGGUGAGAAUCCCGUCCACCGAUUGACUAAGGUUUCCAGAGGAAGGCUCGUCCGCUCUGGGUUAGUCGGGUCCUAAGCUGAGGCCGACAGGCGUAGGCGAUGGAUAACAGGUUGAUAUUCCUGUACCACCUAGCAUCGUUUUAAUCGAUGGGGGGACGCAGUAGGAUAGGCGAAGCGUACGAUUGGAUUGUACGUCUAAGCAGUGAGAUUGAGUGUUAGGCAAAUCCGGCACUCUUAAGAUUGAGCUGUGAUGGGGAGAGGAAAUUGUUUCCUCGAGUCGUUGAUUUCACACUGCCGAGAAAAGCCUCUAGAUAGAUAAUAGGUGCCCGUACCGCAAACCGACACAGGUAGUCAAGAUGAGAAUUCUAAGGUGAGCGAGCGAACUCUCGUUAAGGAACUCGGCAAAAUGACCCCGUAACUUCGGGAGAAGGGGUGCUCUUUAGGGUGCAAGCCCAGAAGAGCCGCAGUGAAUAGGCCCAAGCGACUGUUUAUCAAAAACACAGGUCUCUGCUAAACCGUAAGGUGAUGUAUAGGGGCUGACGCCUGCCCGGUGCUGGAAGGUUAAGAGGAGUGGUUAGCUUCUGCGAAGCUACGAAUCGAAGCCCCAGUAAACGGCGGCCGUAACUAUAACGGUCCUAAGGUAGCGAAAU